AGAGUUUGAUCCUGGCUCAGAACGAACGCUGGCGGCAGGCCUAACACAUGCAAGUCGAGCGCGCCCUUCGGGGUGAGCGGCGGACGGGUUAGUAACGCGUGGGAACGUGCCCAGAUCUAAGGAAUAGCCACUGGAAACGGUGAGUAAUACCUUAUACGCCCUUCGGGGGAAAGAUUUAUCGGAUUUGGAUCGGCCCGCGUUAGAUUAGGUAGUUGGUGGGGUAAUGGCCUACCAAGCCUACGAUCUAUAGCUGGUUUUAGAGGAUGAUCAGCAACACUGGGACUGAGACACGGCCCAGACUCCUACGGGAGGCAGCAGUGGGGAAUCUUGGACAAUGGGGGCAACCCUGAUCCAGCCAUGCCGCGUGAGUGAUGAAGGCCUUAGGGUCGUAAAGCUCUUUCGCCUGUGAUGAUAAUGACAGUAGCAGGUAAAGAAACCCCGGCUAACUCCGUGCCAGCAGCCGCGGUAAUACGGAGGGGGUUAGCGUUGUUCGGAAUUACUGGGCGUAAAGCGCGCGUAGGCGGAUUAGUCAGUUAGAGGUGAAAUCCAGGGCUCAACCCUGGAACUGCCUUUAAUACUGCUAGUCUUGAGUUCGAGAGAGGUGAGUGGAAUUCCGAGUGUAGAGGUGAAAUUCGUAGAUAUUCGGAGGAACACCAGUGGCGAAGGCGGCUCACUGGCUCGAUACUGACGCUGAGGUGCGAAAGUGUGGGGAGCAAACAGGAUUAGAUACCCUGGUAGUCCACACCGUAAACGAUGAAUGCCAGUCGUCGGCAAGCAUGCUUGUCGGUGACACACCUAACGGAUUAAGCAUUCCGCCUGGGGAG
rnacentral:rRNA from 1 species